rnacentral:rRNA from 1 species
CCUACGGGGGGCAGCAGUGAGGGAUAUUGCUCAAUGGGGGAAACCCUGAAGCAGCAACGCCGCGUGUAGGAAGAAGGUUUUCGGAUUGUAAACUACUUUUGUUGGUGAAGAUAAUGACGGUAACUAAGGAGUAAGCACCGGCUAACUACGUGCCAGCAGCCGCGGUAAUACGUAGGGAGCAAGCGUUGUUCGGAUUCACUGGGUGUAAAGGGUGCGUAGGCGGGAUUGCAAGUCAGAUGUGAAAACCACAGGCUCAACCUGCGGACUGCGUUUGAAACUGUUGUGCUUGAGUGUGGGAGAGGUAGGUGGAAUUCCCGGUGUAGGGGUGAAAUGCGUAGAGAUCGAGAGGAAUACCAGUUGCGAAGGCGACCUGCUGGACUUUAACUGACGCUGAGGCACGAAAGCAUGGGUAGCAAACAGGAUUAGAUACCCGAGUAGUC